UACAGAGGCCCCGAGCGUUGGGCGGAAUCACUGGGCUUAAAGCGUGUGUAGGUGGAUGCCUAAGUACCUUGUGAAAUCCCACGGCUUAACCGUGGAAUUGCUGGGUAUACUGGGUGUCUUGAGCCACUCAGGGGCUACCGGAACAAAUGGUGGAGCGGUGAAAUGCGUAGAUAUCAUUUGGAACGCCAAUGGUGAAAACAGGUAGCUGGGGCUGUGCUGACACUGAGACACGAAAGCCAGGGGAGCAAACGGG
rnacentral:rRNA from 1 species